GAUUUAGUUAUUGUUUGACUGCGCAUGUGCAGCACCAUUUGUACGGCUAGACAGCCUGCGUCACGACAGUUGAAGAUUGCAAUACAGUGAAACACUACACGUGGAAGACCGUCUCCGUCCUCACUUCAUUAUUAAGUGUUAAUAAGAUAAACACUUCACAUGGUGUCAGAAGUGGGAUGGAUGUGGGCCCGCCCCAGGAUGAAGCCUUCAGACAGUUCUUUGCAUUCCUGACCACACUGUGCUACGCAGGCAGCACUUACCUGAGCUACCGUUCCUGGAGAGCCACAGAGGUGGGACAAUAAUCUCAUCACUUUGUGUCCAUCGGACUCUUCCUGGAGGACAUUUCUGAUGGAGAUCUAUCCCUUCAGACCAGGAUGAGACUGAAGUUAAACUAAAAACUAAUACAAAGAAGAAGAAACUAUAAUAUGUCUAUGAUGGAAUACCUUUUUGUUUGCAUGUUUUGUUUUUAUUUUCUAGGCAGAAAUGUAAGAAGAGGAAGACAGAUUUUGUGCUCACCUUAACUUACCAGCAAAGUUAAGAAAGUACAUUAAAAACACAAGUAGUUAACAACAGCUUAAUAUUUAUUUGAUGUGAGGUUGAUGUUCUUCUAAUCAGAGCAACUCUACACACAGUCACUUUUAAGUUCACACAGUGAGACACAGGACAGCGCUAAGACACCAAAUUCAGAAUAACUCAGCACCUCAACAUAAACAAGGUCAAGUAGAAACAAAGACAAAUCAACAAAGACAAAAAGAAUUUGCUCUGUAAUGAUUUUUAUUGCUAACACUAAAUUUUGGAUUGCACAGCAGCAUGAUCAUAUGAUUAUGUGUAUCAUUCAAUCUUUGAACCACAUCUCUCAAUGAAUUUGUUUUAUAUUCCAAACCUAGCAGUCACCAGAGGAAACCUAAUACCCGUGUCGUCUCACCUUUCAUAACUUGGCAAGAGGCCGGCUCAGGAGGAGUUCCAUGUGCUCAUAGCUGAUAAUUAUAUAAUUCAUGCAGUUGAUGUUAAACUAAUAGCUCAAUUAAUUUCUCUUUCUUUAUGUGAUUAAAAAUAAUUAUAUAA